GGGAUAUCAAACCAGUGAAAAUUGACAGCACUUAUGGAUAUGUUAAGGACUUGAUGAAAGAAGUUUUGUACUGCAGACGCAUUAAUCCAACACUGUCCGAAGCUCUUCAUGUCUGGAGUGAAAGAAAUACCUGUCCCAUUGACUUGCCACAAAUCAAAAAUCAGCAAAGCUGAAGCCAUUAAGCAACAUAAAUGUCGCUUUUAUAUAUAAAAAGAUAAUAGAAAUAGCGUUCCACAUGAAAUAAACAUAAUUACAAAUGAA